GACUAGCGUUGUUCGGAAUUACUGGGCGUAAAGCGCACGUAGGCGGAUUUGUAAGUCCGGGGUGAAAUCCCGGGGCUCAACCUCGGAACUGCCUUUGAUACUGCAAAUCUCGAGUCCGGAAGAGGUGAGUGGAAUUCCUAGUGUAGAGGUGAAAUUCGUAGAUAUUAGGAAGAACACCAGUGGCGAAGGCGGCUCACUGGUCCGGUACUGACGCUGAGGUGCGAAAGCGUGGGGAGCAAACAGG
rnacentral:rRNA from 1 species